rnacentral:rRNA from 1 species
GAUCAUGGCUCAGGAUGAACGCUAGCUACAGGCUUAACACAUGCAAGUCGAGGGGGCAUCAGUUUGGUUUGCUUGCAAACCAAAGCUGGCGACCGGCGCACGGGUGAGUAACACGUAUCCAACCUACCUCAUACGUCGGGGAUAGCCUUUCGAAAGAAAGAUUAAUAUCCGAUAGCAUAUAUUUCCCGCAUUGGGUUUUAUAUUAAAGAAAUUCGGUAUGAGAGUGGGGAUGCGUUCCAUUAGUUUUGGGG